rnacentral:rRNA from 1 species
UUGUCCCUACGGGGCGCAGCAGUGAGGAAUAUUGGUCAAUGGUCGGGAGACUGAACCAGCCAAGCCGCGUGAGGGAGGAAGGUACAGAGUAUCGUAAACCUCUUUUGUCAGGGAACAAAGGCGGGGACGUGUCCCCGGAUGAGUGUACCUGAAGAAAAAGCAUCGGCUAACUCCGUGCCAGCAGCCGCGGUAAUACGGAGGAUGCGAGCGUUAUCCGGAUUUAUUGGGUUUAAAGGGUGCGCAGGCGGUCUGUUAAGUCAGCGGUAAAAUACGGGGGCUCAACCUCCGCCCGCCGUUGAAACUGG